rnacentral:rRNA from 1 species
UUGGAUAUCCCGGUUUAGUUGGAAGUAGGCGAUGGGUAGGCAAAUCCGCCCGUCAUAUACCGAGGCCAACGAUCGAGCCAGCUUGCUGGUGAAGUGACUGAACGGGGUUCCAGGAAAAGCCACUAAGCUUCAGCUAUACACGACCGUACCGCAAACCGACACUGGUGCGCGAGAUGAGUAUUCUAAGGCGCUUGAGAGAACUCAGGAGAAGGAACUCGGCAAAUUGACACCGUAACUUCGGAAGAAGGUGUGCCCUAUUAGUGUGAAGUGAACAACGGAGCAUGAAUGGGUUGCAAAAAAUCGGUGGCUGCGACUGUUUAUUAAAAACACAGCACUCUGCAAACACGAAAGUGGACGUAUAGGGUGUGACGCCUGCCCGGUGCUGGAAGAUUAAAUGAUGGGGUGCAAGCUCUUGAUUGAAGUCCCAGUAAACGGCGGCCGUAACGAUAACGGUCCUAAGGUAGCGAAAUUCCUUGUCGGGUAAGUUCCGACCUGCACGAAUGGCGUAACGAUGGCCACACUGUCUCCUCCUGAGACUCAGCGAAGUUGAAAUGUUUGUGAUGAUGCAAUCUCCCCGCGGAAAGACGGAAAGACCCCAUGAACCUUUACUGUAGCUUUGUAUUGGACUUUGAACAGAUCUGUGUAGGAUAGGUGGGAGGCUUUGAAGCAGGGUCGCUAGAUCUUGUGGAGCCAACGUUGAAAUACCACCCUGGUGUGUUUGAGGUUCUAACCUAGGUCCAUUAUCUGGAUCGGGGACAGUGCAUGGUAGGCAGUUUGACUGGGGCGGUCUCCUCCCAAAGCGUAACGGAGGAGUUCGAAGGUACGCUAGUUACGGUCGGACAUCGUGACGAUAGUGCAAUGGCAUAAGCGUGCUUAACUGCGAGACUGACAAGUCGAGCAGAUGCGAAAGCAGGACAUAGUGAUCCGGUGGUUCUGUAUGGAAGGGCCAUCGCUCAACGGAUAAAAGGUACUCUGGGGAUAACAGGCUGAUACCGCCCAAGAGUUCAUAUCGACGGCGGUGUUUGGCACCUCGAUGUCGGCUCAUCUCAUCCUGGGGCUGUAGCCGGUCCCAAGGGUAUGGCUGUUCGCCAUUUAAAGAGGUACGUGAGCUGGGUUUAAAACGUCGUGAGACAGUUUGGUCCCUAUCUUCCGUGGGCGCUGCAGAUUUGAGGAAGCCUGCUCCUAGUACGAGAGGACCGGAGUGGACACACCUCUGGUGUAUCGGUUGUCACGCCAGUGGCAUUGCCGAGUAGCUAAGUGUGGAAGAGAUAACCGCUGAAAGCAUCUAAGCGGGAAACUCGUUUCAAGAUGAGAUCUGCCGGGGCCUUGAGCCCCCUGAAGAGUCGUUCAAGACCAGGACGUUGAUAGGUCAGGUGUGGAAGCGCAGUAAUGCGUUAAGCUAACUGAUACUAAUUGCUCGUGCGGCUUGACCCU